rnacentral:lncRNA from 1 species
AAUGGGUCCCCAUGGGUGACACAGAACUUUGGGAGCCUUGUCCCUUGCUCUCUCCAUCCCUAUCCUUCUCGUGAAUGCCACACAUUGGGGAAAAAAAAUAUGGAACAGAUAGCAGUAGCAAGGGCCAACAUCCAGUACAUCCAGUCCACCCACAGAAUGUUCUGAGGAUAAAUAAGGCAAUACACAUGCAAUGGCUUGAGAACUCUGAUUCACUCUACAAAACAGUGUUGCUGCUGAACAGCCAUGUACCCUACCCAGUGCCAUCUCCUUGGAUGUUCUAUGCUCCAUGUUUCUUCUCCUCCAGUACCCAGGGCUGUCAUGAAGGAGAAGCCAUGCCCAUAAAGGAUGUAGAACAAAGUCUUCGGAAUGCUUGCCUUCCUACUACUCUUCUGUGUCCAUCUCCUCCACGUAACUGGGAAUCACACAUCUCUGUGGCCAAUGCCACAGGCUCUCAUAGGAUUAAAAUAAAUAUGUUUCUUCUGCCCUGAGCACUGGCGCAUGUCCUCCUAUCAUGGGAGAUGGUACACCUCAGCCUGGUGAACAUACAUACAUGCCCUUGGGAGUGUCAACCCCCCUUCUCUUUGGCCACUAGGCUCUAAACUCAAGGAAUUCAGAAAAUGGGUUGAAUGUUAACUUCUCUGGUCUCAUGAGGCUCUUUUAGCCCUGCUCUCUCCUUUGAUCUAAU